UGUAAUUCCGCUGAGCAAAGCGGGGCAGGGAAAAGCCAGGAACCUCGGCCUUGCCCUGCUGAAAAGGCAGCCCCUCUUUUCAGUUUUCACCUCCUCCUUUUCUCUCUCCUCUCUCGGUGUCUCUCUCUCCUCACCUCACCCUUUUUGGAUUCUUGGCAUCGCCUGUCUGCCCCCAUUGGCCCAACCCCAAGUCCCACCUCCCUUUGUGGAAUCCUAAAUUCUUGCCUCCCUCUUGCCUCUUCUACCUGCCUCUCCAACUUGGGAAGGGAGCAGAACAAGUAGCAGCAGCUGCGCCCACACCACCUCCUGCUUCUCCUGGCCUCUCUGUGUAUGCGUGCGUUCCUACCACCUCGCCGCAAAACUUCGAACGCUCUUGCCAUGUGCCGUCGUCAAGGCUUGAUGUGUUUGUGCGGUGAUCACGCGGGUAGUGACCAGUGAGUGAAUGGGAGCCAAGGCAAUGUCGUCCCACGGGAUCGGGGCCGGCGGCGGCGGGCCCCUCUCGCAGCAGGGCUCAGUGUGCAGCCUCACGUUCAGCGAGGUGGACGGCCAGCUCUCGAUCGCGGCCGCGGACAAGAGGACGGUGGACGAGGUGUGGCGGGACAUCCAGGGCGCCGGUGUCUGCCCGCGGUCCCAGAUGACGCUGGAGGACUUCCUGUCCAGGGCCGGUGCGCCCGCCGACGCCGCGUACACCGGCGCGCGCAGCUGGGCGCAGCAGUACCAGCCGGCUCCUGCGCAGCUGGACCACCACCAGCACUACCCCAUGCCGCGGCCGCUCGGCAUGGGCGCCGGGCCGGUGCUCGACGCGCUGUACCACGAGAGCCACGAGGGCGGCGCGGCGGCCGGACGGAAGCGGGCUGUAGGCGCCGAGGGCGGCGUGGUGGAGAGGUCGACGGUGGAGCGGCGUAAGAAGCGGAUGAUCAAGAACCGCGAGUCGGCGGCGAGGUCGCGCGCGCGGAAGCAGGCGUACACGAACGAGCUGGAGAACAAGAUCUCGCGUCUGGAGGAGGAGAACGAGCGGCUCAGGAGGCACAAGGUACGAUACAAAUCAAACCAUGCACCGAUAAAUUUAGAAAUCUUGUGAUGAAUCAGACCUUCCAAGUUCCAAGCCACAACUUGCAACCUUGUGUUACUAGAAGUUUGCAGUAGACCUUCCAAGUUCGAAGCCACAACUUGCAACCUCGCAACUAGGAGUCCUUGUCUGAUUGUUCAUCACCUGUAGCAGUUCGGAAGAGUGACUCGCAUACAAACGCGCUCGAUAGUUAUUGGUUGAUAUCUAGCGCACAAGGGCUAUUGCCAAGAGCAUCAGCAUGAGCAUGUAGGCCACUCGUGGCCUCUUAACAAGCUUGUUGGGAUCUAAUUCUCUAAUACAAGACAAGAAAACUUUUUUUCUCUCCCUUGGGAUCUAUUUUAGUGACAGUGAGAUCUCAUACAGCCAAUCAGUGGAGUGUAAUAGUUUCACUUCUGAAUAUGUUUAACUUCCUCCUUUUGAGCCGAUGCAUAGGGUCUAUGUAUGCGAGUCUGGUACUGCCCAUUUCUCCGCUGUCUAUGCGUGAUUGGCUCUGCUCUGGGAGUGGUUACAUGACGAUGUCUGGUGAUUGCUGAUUGAUGGACCACAAAUUUGUGUCCAAUCAAGUGGGGUUACAGUCUUUUUCUGUACAUCUCCAGAUCUUUUUGUACGAAAAUUCUCUUUUCCUCAUGUCAAACUCGUUUUUCUAACCGAAAGUGAGACAAAUGACAUUGUUGGAUUGUCAGCCAUUCCUAUCUCUUUCGGUCAUCGCAGAGCUUUCUUAUGCAAUAGCCAGUGCCUUGUGUGUGCUCAUGGACUAGCAUCAGUAUAAAUGACAUCGUGGAUGAUCAAUCAUCCCUAUUCCUCUUUCUGUUAUUGUACAGUUUUCUUAUCCAAUGACCAAUGUCUCUAAUGUGUUCUCGUGGGACAGACAUCACUGUCACUAAAGAUAUUAUUCUUAGUCUAAGCUUACUCUUAGGAUUUAUUAUUUAGGCCUUUGGAAAGUUUAUUGCAUUGUCUGACAGCUCAACUUCCGCCAUAGCUUUCAGUCAGCUUAUUUACUAAAGGUCAUACACCCUGUCAACAAGUAAUAUUUUUUGCCCAUCUGAUUCAGCUUGAUUUGAAAUUUUACUAGUAUCCAUGCAGUGAAAUCUGCGCAUCUAUCUCGAAUUGUGUUUCGUUUUUCCUUUUCUGGUUUUUAUAAUCCCCUCACGCGCCUUUCUAUGCCCCAUGUCAUGCAAUCUGAAGACAAUAUGUAUAACUCUACAAGAGUACUAGUGACAAGCUCUCCGAAAGGCACCGGAGCCGGUAGUGCAGUAUGUGCCGCAACUGGAGAUAAAGAACCAGCUCCGGCGGACUAACUCGGCCAACUUCUG